UACGUAGGGUGCAAGCGUUGUCCGGAAUUAUUGGGCGUAAAGGGCUCGUAGGCGGUCUGUCACGUCGGGAGUGAAAACACGGGGCUUAACCCCGUGCCUGCUUCCGAUACGGGCAGACUAGAGGUAUGCAGGGGGAGAACGGAAUUCCUGGUGUAGUGGUGAAAUGCGCAGAUAUCAGGAGGAACACCGGUGGCGAAGGCGGUUCUCUGGGCAUUACCUGACGCUGAGGAGCGAAAGUGUGGGGGAGCGAACAGG
rnacentral:rRNA from 1 species